rnacentral:rRNA from 1 species
GUUUACUGCCAUACCACCCUGAACACGCCCGAUCUCGUCUGAUCUCAGAAGCUAAGCAGGGUCGGGCUUGGUUAGUACUUAGAUGGGAGAAAUAUGUUCACAGCUAAUC